rnacentral:lncRNA from 1 species
UGCAUUGACCAGUGAGCCAGGAGACAGAGGAGGGGGAUCUCAGCUGACUGAUUUUUACUGCUUAGACAUGGCAGUCAGAACUUGAUUCUUUGUCUAGAAAAACAGAGCAUCUGGGGAGCUAAUGAAAAACACUUAGGUGAUUCCUAAGCUUUCCUUGGGUAUUUUGUAUUUUGCUUGAAUAUUUGAGUGUGUGCAAGUGUGCAUGAAUGGUCUGGUGGGUUUAUGCAUUCUCAUUCUUAAAAGACAUUGUUGAUAAAUUCUAGAAUUUUAGCUUAGGACUGUUCUACUGUGAAUAAAGUUCUGGCUUUGUCAGCCCAGCCUUUGUU